rnacentral:tRNA from 2 species
GGGCAAUUAGCUCAGAUGGAUAGAGCGUUGGCCUCCGGAGCCAAAGGCCACAGGUUCGAAUCCUGUAUUGCCCA